rnacentral:rRNA from 1 species
UUUGGUGGCGAUAGCGAAGAGGUCACACCCGUUCCCAUGCCGAACACGGAAGUUAAGGCUCUUCAGCGCCGAUGGUAGUCGGGGUUUCCCCCUGUGAGAGUAGGACGCCGCCAAGC